rnacentral:rRNA from 1 species
AUGGAUCAAGGGGGCGCGCUCCAACACGAGAAGGCGGUCACCAGGCCUGGCGUGACAAGCACAACCUCACCCCGAGCCGAAAACCGCAUACGGACUUCAUCCAAACUACAUCGUGACGUCGCCCGAUACAGAGGUGCCGCAUACCCCUUAUGCUUCACUGAUGAGGUAAUGGAGCACCAGUUCCUAGAAGGGUUUAAAAUCGUGAACAUUGAAUCAUAUGAUGGAACGACAGAUCCCGCGGUAUGGAUUGAAGAUUUUCUUCUCCAUAUCCACAUGUCUCUUGGUGAUGAUCUCCACGCCAUCAAGUACCUCCCGCUAAAAUUAAAGGGACCAGCUCGGCACUGGCUAAACAGCCUCCCAGAAAACUCCAUUGGUAGCUGGGAAGAUUUGGAAGAUGCCUUUAGAGACAACUUCCAAGGUACCUAUGUUCGACCCCCAGAUGCCGAUGACCUCAGUCACAUAGUCCAGCAACCCGGAGAGUCAGCCCGGAAACUCUGGACCAGGUUCUUAAUUAAAAAGAACCAAAUUGUCGAUUGUCCGGACGCCGAAGCCCUUGUGGCUUUUAAACACGGCGUCCGUGAUGAGUGGCUCACCCGACACCUCGGCCAAGAAAAACCGAAGUCUAUGGCAGCUCUCACCGCACUCAUGACCCGCUUUUGCGCGGGAGAAGAUAGCUGGUUAGCUCGUAGAAGCAACAACACCAGUAACCCUGGUACGUCCGAAACCAGAGAUGGCAACGGCAAGCCACGACGCAACAAACACAAGCGUCGAAGCAACAAUGAAGAUACCGAAGACACGGCGGUCAACGCCGGAUUCAGUGGCUCUAAACCCGGUCAGCGGAAGAAGCCAUUCAAAGGAAAUAAAGAUAGUCCAUCUAGUUUGGACAGAAUACUCGAUCGGCCUUGCCAGAUUCAUGACACCCGUGACAAGCCUGCUAAUCAUACCAACAGAAAUUGUUGGGUCUUUAAACAGGCCGGUAAGCUAAACACCGAACACAAGGGGAAAGGGCUGCCCAGCGAGGGAGCGCAAGCGCGCACUAAGGGACGUCUAUGCCAUAGAGCCAGUCGCCCCAAAAUUCAACCCAUGGUCAACCUGUCCGAUCACUUUCGAUCGUAA